CUGAGCAACUGGGAAACUGAAUUGGAACCUGGUCGGUGGAAGAUUUCGGAUGACUUCUCCCUCAUCAUGGCUCCUGAUGAAAUGGGGCGGGCCGAGCAAGAGUGCUGUGAGACCUGACCAGGUGUAUCCAUAGGGCCAAGGAAGAAGCCUGAGCCCCAGAGGCAUCCUGUCAGACCCAGCCUCUCUGAGAACGUCUUGGUGCGAACGGGACGACGAGGGUCAUGCCCCAAGCCUGGGGCUGUUGGAGCUCUGUUUGGGACAAGUGGGAGGAAUCAAUGGAAGCCACAACCCGGACCUGAACCGGACCACCCUGUCCUGUGGCUGGUGGAGGACUAACUGGCCACUCCUGGGAUGCUGCGGGCACUACGCCGGCCCUGCCGUGCAGGUGGGAGUUGGUUUACACCAAGCUGCUGCCAGCUGGCCAUCCCACCCUAUCCCUCCAGCCCACAACUGUAUCCCAUCCUCCAGCCAAUGCCAUUUCCUUUGGUGGUCAAGGGUUAAACACUGCAUUAUGGGUGCCACACCAGUCUCUGGCAACUCCAAGAGGCGAUGGAUGGAUGUGUGUGUGUG